UACAGAGGUCUCAAGCGUUGUUCGGAUUCAUUGGGCGUAAAGGGUGUGUAGGUGGCGCCGUAAGUCGGGUGUGAAAUUUCGGAGCUUAACUCCGAAACUGCAUUCGAUACUGCGGUGCUUGAGGACUGGAGAGGAGACUGGAAUUCAUGGUGUAGCAGUGAAAUGCGUAGAUAUCAGGAGGAACACCGGUGGUGUAAACGGCUUUCUGGACCAUAACUGACGCUGAGGCACGAAAGCGUGGGUAGCAAACAGG
rnacentral:rRNA from 1 species